AGUAAGGCUGGUUAUAUGCAGAGUUCCCAUAGUGCCUUGCUUUCUUUGGAACUGAAAGUACUUAAAAUUAGAAAACAUCCUGGAACUGUCUUGCUACGUUUUGAUCAUGUGUCUCCGUCCCAGAAGCGAUCUCCCAGGAGCGUCAUUUCCCGCACCCUGGGCGUGGUUGCCUUCUCUGCCAUUCUACUGGGCUUGACACCGGUGUUGAGGAAAAUGAAGGCUUCUCGGAGCUCAGAGCGUCCGGGCCCCGUGGGACGCCUUGUAGCUUUCUGCCGCGGCGGAGCCCAGCUGGCCAUCCUGCUGCUGUUCCUUCCGCCUUCAGUUUUGGGCCAGUGCAAAGCCCCAUCAUGGUUUCCAUUUGCCAACCGUAUAACUCAAACUGAUGAAUCUGAGUUUCCCAUUGGAACAUCUUUGAUGUAUGAAUGUCGCCCAGGAUAUAUCAAGAGGCAGUUCUCCAUCGUAUGUGAAGAAAACUUAGACUGGACAAGUGCUGAAAAUAAGUGUAUACGUAAAUCAUGUGCAAAUCCUAAAGAUCCUCAGAAUGGCGUAGUAAUAAUCACAGACAUUCAGUUUGGAUCCAGUAUUUCUUAUACUUGUAAUACAGGAUACCGCCUCAUUGGUUCCAAUACAGCUGUGUGCAUAAUCUCAGAUAACGGUCUCAUUUGGGAUAAUGAAGCACCUAUUUGUGACAGAAUUCCUUGUGAAGCACCCCAAGCCAUUACCAAUGGAGAGUUCGUUGCUCCUACAGAAGAUUUUUAUUAUGGAAUGGUGGUCACCUAUCGCUGCAAAACUGGUGAUAGAGGGAAAAAGCUCUUUAAUCUGGUGGGUGAACCAUCCAUACACUGUACCAGCAGUGAUGGUGAAGUUGGAGUCUGGAGUGGCCCUCCUCCUCAGUGCAUUGAACUCAGCAAAUGUACACCUCCCCAUGUUGAAAAUGCAGUCAUGGUGUCUGAAAGCAGAAGCUUGUUUUCCUUAAGAGAUACUGUGGAGUUUAGAUGUCAGCCUGGCUUUAUCAUGGAAGGAAUCAGCAGUGUACAGUGUCAAAACCUAAACAAAUGGGAGCCAGAGUUACCAAGCUGCUUCCAGGUGAAACCUUGUGGUCCUUUCCUGGAACAGCUUCCUAAUGGGAAUGUACUAUUUCCACUAAAUCUUCAAAUUGGGGCUAAAGUGUCCUUCGUUUGUAAUAAAGGGUUUCAAUUAAAAGGCAAUUCUGCUAGUUACUGUAUUCUGGCUGGAAAGGAAAGUGUUUGGAAUAGCAGUGUUCCUAUGUGUGAACGAGUGACAUGUGUCAUCCCAGAGCAUAUGAGUGAAAUCAGUGAGGAAUUGAAAAUGAAAAGAUAUUACUAUGGAGAUAAUGUAACCUUGGAAUGUAAGGAGGGGUUUACUCUAGAUGGCAGUUCUCAGAGCCAGUGCCAGUUAGAUGCCACCUGGAAUCCUCCUCUGGCCAACUGUGUAUCUCGCUCAAGCCAUAGUCUCAUACUUGGCAUUUGCAUUGGGAUAGUCAUCUUUAUUUCACUCAUCCUUGUUUUCUGUUGCCUCAUUCGAAAAUAUAACAAAGGUCUCACUGGCCUUCCAUGUGCUAGAGAAACUGGCCUGUGAUCAUGGUCCCUCUGUGUCUUACGUGCUUCUCUCAGUCUAAGAGGGUAAAGAGGAGUUGAGUGGUGAGGAGUAGUGCAACACCGCAGAUGGAAAGUGUAAAGCAGUGAGUAUCCAUUUAAAUUCUGAAGAAGACAGAAGCUGUGUUAACCCUCAAGCUCUGCUCACAAGUUAAGAGAACAACAGUUCCAAUAGCCCAGCUCGGAUUUGAUUCGCCCAAGAAGCCUUCUAAAUAGCCACAUUGCAAAAUGAUGUCACUUUCUGAAAAAGUAUAUCCUACCUGUAUCACUUUUAAAAUAAACUAUUUGUUUUAAGA